UUAAUUUUUCAAACAUUUUGAGAUUCAACUUAUGAGAUCCAAUUAUUCAUAUUUUUCUUGACUUAUCAUAAUUUUCUCAAACAUUUCUUCUAUGUUUUGGUGCUUGAUUUGAAUUUUCUCUUUAUUUCCCAUUUUUAAUCAUUUUUAAUCCUUUUUAUUUCAUUUUUAAUUCAAUUUUUGUCAUUCAUUUGACUUUGCUUGAGUGAUUGCUUGGUUGAAGAGAUCUUCAACAUUUCAAAUCAUUGAUAGAUGGUCCCUUGGUUGACUCAAUCUUCUCUAAUUCAAUAUUUUGAUAGAUGGUCAUUUGAUCAUAUUUUU
rnacentral:lncRNA from 1 species